AGAUACAUCCGAGGAGUGGGGGUCAGGAGGAUUUUGUCACAAUGAAGAUUCUGGUUCAGUAGGUUUGGGGUGAGGCCUGACAUGGUGCAGUCCCAAGAGGUUCCCAGGGGCUGCUAAUGCUGCUGGUUUCUGGACCACACUGGGCAGCAAGGCCAGCAUCGUGGAGCCGGAAUAGGACCCAAAGAAAACGUUUUGCAGCCCCAAACAAAUCGAGAUAAAGCCCAAGUGCUGUGACACUGAGUCUGUGCACAAUAGGGUGGUAACGAUCAUUUGAAUGCAGGCGAAAUAUAAUAGAGGUUCCCCCAGACCUCCCCAGCCGGUGCGUUACAAGCCGGUGUGUUUACAGCACAUACACAAAUGAUUCCUGCUCAUCACUCAACUUAUAUAUCAGAAUCUGCAGCUCCUUUCCCUUCUAAGUCCCACCAGGUGAUUUCUAGGUGUCCCUGGGGGUCUCACUCCACUUCAACCGCAGCCCAGCCUCUCAAGGCUCUUCAGCUGGGGAUCGCCUUGUUCAUUGCUCAAAGCUCAGGACACCUCUCGAGGAAGGGUGUUCCUGCGGCCGGUGCCAGGCCCUGCUCGGAUCCCACCGGGGCCGCUCUGGAGGCGCUGUCCCCCCCGGGGGAUCCCAGUGCCGCAGAACUUCGCGAGGCCAGAGCAGGGCUCCGUCCAGGGCAGCGCUGGGCAGCAUCUACACAGCAGUAGAUUGCCUCGUGCUGAAUCUCGCUUCCUGCAGCGUCAGCCUGCAUCUCCUUGGAAAUGGCAUCAGACUCUCCCUGCCGCCCCUCUCCUAGCCUGAUCCACGGGCUGGCACACAGACAUCAUCUCUGUCUUGGCACAAGCGGAAGAAUCUAAAUUGGCUCCAAACGGAAAAAUCUGCCUCUUGGAAUCGAGUUCCCUGCCCGAAGAAGUUUUAAAGUAGGAGCAAGAUGGCCAGUGCUGAUGAGCGGAGUGGGCCAGUGUUUCCUAAUUUCCCUGUUUUUUUUUGGUGGGAGCACCACUGUUUUUGGAUUGUUUCAAGAUGCACGCGGAAAUUCAAACAAUUAAGCAAUGAGACGUUUAAACAAUGUUGGAUUAAACCAUUAAAAUUCCAACAAUGUGGAGAUUCGGCCUUGCUCCGCAUCCCUAGUCCCCCGGCUCACAGAACUUUGAAGACCAUUCUCUACCGCCAUCGAGAAUUUAAGCAUCACUGAAAAGGAAGUAGGGUCCCCAGUACUAAGCCCGACUGCUGGCUUGAGCUCCUGGUCCUGCCACCUGCUAGCCGUGCAGCCAUGGACAUAAGAACCCAACCGGAAGGAGCAGCUGUCCAGUGGGGAAGAUGCAGAGAAAUGGAAACCCGGAGAAAAAGGUAAACUUGGAGGCACGAGUGGGUGGAGCCUGGCGCAGUAUGCCAUUAACGACUGUUGGCAUGCACCCGGGAUCAGUCUCUCCACUUGAAAAUUCGAAUACGACUCCCCUUCCAGCGCCUCAGCUGCACCUGCUAUCAUCCCGCUGAUUUGAGAAUUGGGGAGGAGAGAGAAACCCGGAGUCUAUCACAUUUCUUUCUGGCAUAGAAAUUCCCAAACGCUCACGAGAAGGGCUAGUCUUGAGGCAUCACUGAAGGAACCACCUCCACAGCAAAGCAAGAGGCCCGCGUUCAUUAUCCUUGCUGCCAACUGCUGGACCUAUGUACCAGCCGCUUAGUCCUCACGCUCUAGGAGACAGGUAUGCUCGUACUCCCAACUUACGGAUGAGACAACUGAGGCACAGGGAGAAUAAGUAGCUUGCUCGUGAUCAUGGUGCUCUGAGACCCUGCACUGAGUGGCCUCUCAAGGGCUGCACACCCGCCUGGGAGUUACCAUUACCAUCUCCAGCCAGGGCAGUCACUGGAGCCGAGGGUCUCAACCCUGGCAGAUCACUGGGAUCAGAGAGAGGGUCUAAAUACCACUCAAUCCUGGGGCCCACCCCCGUGAUCUGAUGUGAUUGCUCUGAGUGUGGCCCAGCUCCCGGGGGAUUCCGUUCUAAGGCUUUCCACGUGGGGAGUCAUUGCCCUGGAGGCUCCAACGCCACCAGCUAUAAAUUAAAGCACAUACAGAACCCAAGCAAUGCCUGAGUAUGGUCCUAGGCAAAAUUCCUUUUCCGGGUGCUCAGAUUUAAGAUGAAGGGGCUUUCUGAUCAUUCAGCAGGGCCAGGGGUCAAAGGUCUAGAAGGCCACAGUUCUCAGAUGUGUUUGGAUGCAUCCUUAGGGGACUACCAGGAAUUAUAUAACGCUUAAACACUUUUAUGUUUAGGAAAGAAAGGAGAAAAACACUGAACCUCUGAAGAAACAAUCUGGUCUGAAUCUGUUGCAAAGCUUACAGGGCUUAGCAUUGCCAGGAAAUGGGUUGCUUAGGAUUGGAACUUGUCGCUAAGGAAGCAAGGACUGAUUAAAAGGACUGAAUGUCUGCAGGAGCUUCUCCUACCUUUCCAAAGCAAAAGGUGCACAGAUGGGGAGCAUUUUGAGCUCUGGCAGAUGAGGUAGGGGUGCAGGAGAUGUUGGGUGCCUGAGGGCCGGGUGCUGGGCUCUGGAUGCAGCCCCAAGCCAGGCGCAGCUGACGGCGCCACAGGGGCUAAGAGUUCCGAUGGGCAUUUUAAUCUCAGGAGCUUUGUGGGCCGAAACAAGCCAGCAGAGGUUUCGGGCUAACAGAUCACUUCUCUCGUAUGCGGGGUUUAAAUUUGUGACCUGGAUUCAGGUUGCAAACUCAAAAAGGCCCUUCCGGGGCCAGGCAGAAGUCCUGGGCUGCUGACAGUAAGAGAUGCCACUUGAAUCCUGCUCCUGUCGCCAUGAGGGAAUGGGAACCUGGUCUUUCAAGAUGUUUCAGUUUCUCAAGAGAAGCCAGAAAGCCAGAUUUUAUGUGAAAUCUUGGCAUUCUUAAAUGUUAGCUACAAUUAAAAAAAUUUUUUUUUUUUUUUAAUACGUGGGCCAAACCAUACUUGUUUGGGCUGGGUUUGCCCAAGGGCCACCAGCUGGCGCCCUCACCAAGGCGUUUGAGGAUACUAAGGCAAGUGAGGAGGUGCCCUCCUUAGAGCAGGCUGUUCUAAGCAGCACCCCCUUGCCCCCGCUCAGUUAACAGAAGCAACUAGGGGUGGGGAACCCCCAGGUGGGACUGGCCAGACCGCAGGAGUCCCAGGGAGCAAUUGGGAAAGUUCUCAAUCAGCAGCAGUUAUUAAGAGAAGCCGCUGGAACGCCAGCUCUCACACCCCCUUUCCUGGUGAGUGCUCACCUCCUUCUGAUGCUCUUGUCACAGCUUCUGCCGUGUGGCUCUCCCUCCCGGAAUGUAAGCUCGCGGGAGGGCCGGGCGCUCUCACUGCUUUGCUGACUCCUGUCUCCCCAACCACCCGGGGCUACGUAGCGGCCCCUCAAAGCUUUGUCGAAUGAAUGAGUGAACAGUGAGUGCAGGCACGAAUGAACGACUUGGGGAUGGCAGGGACUUUAAAGGCCACAGAAUGGCUGAUGCGGCUGCAUGGGCUUCCUGGCGCCUGAGCCUGAAGCACCACCCCGUCCUCCCACAGAGGUUUCUGGCACAGACUCUGCAGCUGCAGAGCCGGGUGGAAACAGGCUCGGGGUGGCUGCAACAGCCUUUGAUGGGGAGAGAGGGAGACUGGCACUUUCCACCCAUCUGGUGAGGCCAGGAAACAGGAGGAGGGGAAUCACGCGAGAGGGUGCCGAGCCAAGGGCUGCCCUGGGGAGGCCUGGUGUGGGGUGCGUGCUGCCAGGGCUCCCUUUCAGCCCGGCCAGGUGCGGCUGGAGGGGCUGCAUUUCCAUUUCAGAUCAGCUGUUUGGGCUUCCGGAGGCCUGGGCAGGGUGCGGGAGGGGCGCAGGAAUACGGAUGGGGCUGGUGCCAAGCUGGACCGGCUUCCCGUGGAUGGUAGCCAGGAACAGGGACAAUGGUGAAGGGAUGUGGCCCCCACGCUGCUCGGGGCGGGGGGGGGGGGUGCUGGAUUUCCCGGGAUAUCAGAAGUCAGAGGGCAGGUGUAACGUGCACCUGCUGACUGAGGUUUUGGGGCCCUCGGAAGUCACAGCUGGCAGGAGGGCACAGGGAGGAAGUUUCCACCGCACAGAUUCAAAUGGCUCCGACUGCCUCUCAGCCAAGGUGCUGACAGUACCUCUCCAGAGGGCAGUGAUCUCCCGAGGCAGGGGGCUGUGACCCCUCAAUGUCUCUUUCUGGUCUCUCCCUCCUUGGACCACGUGGCUUCAGUGGUUUGCUUCCUGAUGCUCCUAGACUCACCAGAAUGUUCAACUACACACAUUUUGCCCAAGUCACUUGACCCCCUCAAGGGUCUCGGCUUCCCCACCUGUAAAAUGGGGACCAUCACGUCUACUUCUCAGAGGUGUCCUAAGGGAUUCAGUGAGAGCCCACGAGGAAAGCACUUGGCAUGGCGCCACGCACGUUAGGAGGCAUUCGGUAAACAGUGAUUCGCUUUCCUGUUAUAAAUGUAACACAGGGCUGCUUCGUACGCAGCCGGCAGGACAGCAAGCCUAGCACUCUGUCUAAAAGCAGCUCUCAAUCUUUGGUGUGUGGAAGGGUCACGGUGGGUGUUGGGCAAAGCGUGGAUGCCUGGCACACGCUGACUCAGAAGGUAUGGCUGUCCUGGGUACCUGCUCUUGGCUGCUGUCCCGUGGCAACUGGACGAGCCAAUUCCAGGGACGGCGGUCCUGUGUUCCAUUCUGAGAACUGUCGGCCGAGCACUGCUUUUAAACGAGCGGGUUCUAGAGCUGACAUCACACACAUUCGUCACCCGUGCCAAGCACCCGGCUCACCACCGUUCAGUCUCGCUGAUGUAGGGGACCGACAGGGGCCAACGGAGGCAGCUCGGACUGUCAGCCAUGAAGCAAACUGGAGGUCUCAAGAGUCAUUUCCUAGCUAUGGAGAGAGGGCCUACUAAUACGUAUUAACAGACUCUAGCCUAUCCGUGGAAUUUCAGAGUAAGUGACCUGUGGAUGGAGAGAUGCCCCAAAAGGUCAAUUUAGUUCAUCAUCAAGUAGCAUAUGUUUCAACAACAUCCCAUUUCCUCCUUGUUCAAAAGGUUUGCAGAAGCCACUCUGUCGGGCCUUCUUUUCUGCAUGUGGUAUCUUUCCUGGGGAGGGGGCGCUGGGUUUUCACAAGGUGGCGAGGUCGAGCCGGCUCUGCAGAGGGGCCCCCAAAGCCCUCCUCUCGGCUCUGCCGGGGUACCUCCUCCCUUCCACGGUGACCAACAAACCUGGGGCCCCGGAGGAGCGGUUUCCACCGCCUUUCACCCAGCCCCCCCGUGUCUCAAGUGCGCCAUUCUGAUCACAGGUAUAGGGCCCUGCACGAUGCGAGUUUAACUAAUUUCCCUCCUCUGAGGCGGCUCCGACAGGCCUCGGCUAACUCUGCUUCCCAAGUGCCAGGCACUCGGUGCCCAACCUUGCAGGGCUUAGAGACAGUUAGUUUCGUGCCAGCACCUUAAGGCCGUUCCGGCCCUAAGAUUCUUUUUUUUGUCUCUGUCGCUCCACCGCCUCUCCCUCAUUUAGGGAUGGCCCAUCUGGGAUGAUGGGCGUGUAGCAGGAAGGCCACUCCGGAGGGCUACAGGGUAUCUGAACUCGCCAGCCGAAGCACCUGGGCUGUGGGGCUUAGCCAUACACGCCAGCAGGGACCUUGACCCGGGCCCACGGGUGAAUAAGGCGCCAAGUGAACGACGUCGGCGGUGUAAAUGCACUUCUGUCUGGAGGGCUGGGGACUGAUUUCACGCCCCUGGGGUCCUUGCAACCCAGAGGUGCAGAGCUGGAAAACACCUUUGUGAACAACCGACACCACAUUGCGACCUCCCGACGGCAACCCUGAGGCCCAGAGAUGGGAACCCCUCCCCCAGGAAGUGGCACAGCUCAGACUAGAACUCGAGUCCCCUGCUUUUGGGACGGCGCGAGGGGCGGGCCAGCCCCAGGGCCCCUCCGUGAGGUGUGGAAAACAUCCCUGCUACCUUCCACCAACCUGAGGGGUAAAUCACUCCAUGUGGAGUCAUGAUGGGUGGAAGUUCUGAAGCCAAACAGGAGCCAGUGACCUCGUAUUAUCCCAAACAGGAAACACGCCAGAGGCUCCCCACCGGGCUGGCUCGAUUUGGGAAACCGUUAAGGAAAAGUGAACGCAAGAAAUGGGUGAAGUCUUGACCGUUACAACGCACACACACAAAAAACCCUCAGUGACCCUGUUUGGGUCAGUGCAAGGAAAUGAAUGAAUCAAUUUCAGGACAGGGCUCCUACAGAACAAUCAGUGCCUCCCUGAUCCCAUUGCAUGAAUACGGAACAAAGAUCGAGAGCAUUGGUUUCGUACCCUGCGUAGAAAGUCUGGGAUUCUGCUGAGCCAACCCUACACAAGGUUUGGAGGUCAGACUCUGGAGAUAGGCAGACACAUCUGGAUACGAAUCCUGGCAAUGCCCCCGUCUACCCACAUGACCUAGGGGCAGUCAUUUCCAUCCUCCCGGCCUCAGUUUCCUCAUCUGUAAAGUGGGGCUUAUGACAGCACUGACCUUCUAAGGUUAUAGGUGAUGGUGACACCAGCUUCCUGAAUACAGAAUGCCCUGGAGAUGCACAGGUGACUGUCCCAGAGACCUUACUUGUCUUCUGACGUAAGAAAAGACGAGGAAAUCCCCUCCACUCACCUUCCCUGAUCUAUAAAGCUCAGGCCCGCGUGGGCCCACACUGCCGGCCCGGGCUUCUGAGCAGUGUGGGAAAGGGCCCUGACGCCCAGACCUCUGGCAGGCAGGCACAUGGUGGGACCCCCCCCCCCAGGAGGAACGCCUCAAUCCACCAGCUGGCACCGGUUAAACCACCAGGCUCCGGGCUAAGGUGCUGGAGGGCACCGACUGCGAAGCAAGAUAAGCUUUGUCUCCAGGGGAGAACCUCACAUUCUAACAGGGGAUACAGAUGAGGAAAGGAAUAAAAUAAAGUGCCGUGUGGCAGGUGACAAAUGUUGCCCCAGGGAUCAGGAGGAUGCUGGCGUCAGACUCUCAGAUGUAGCACCUCCUAGCCUGGAGGCCUGGGGCUCACUCAGCCCUCCCAGGCCUCUCUUUCCCCAGCUGUGGAAUGGGCAGAGCAACAGCCCCUGCCUCAGCGGUGGGAGAAGAGAUCAGAGGAGGAGCUGUGUCUGGCCUCGGCACAUAAACGCUCGGGAACAUGGCACGAAGCGGGGUGGUGAUAAUGAAGUGGGAUGAGUAGCACAGGCAGUGCCCCUUCCCUGUCAGAUGACCUCCCGGAGAAAAGCACAUCCCUGGGAAGCUGGAGAGAGAAGAAGUUGUGAGCUGGGCGAGAAGAAGGUCUAGCAGGCAGCGGACGGGGCGGGCGAAGAGGAAGCACAGAGACUCAGGGAGAGAGAGGCCAGGCCACCUCCGGGCCCUGCAAGCCGGACGCCCAGUCCGGCCUGACCGUUGUCCCUGUAGGACUGCGGGCCCCAAGUGACAGGGACAGGUCGACCCACUGAAGCCGGAGGAGCCUAGGGCACCCGCGGGGGGCUGUAGCACACCCCCACCCCCGGCCUUCCAGAAAGGAAGCUCCGCAGACAUAAUCGCACCGCCGGAGCAAGGGGGAGCCACUGGGAAUCUUUUUUUAAACGCUAAGUGGCAUUCAUUCUCUGAGCCAAAGCAAUGACCCGAUUCGGAAGAGCAAGUGGGGUCAGGGUCUGAGGGGGCCUGACUUUCAGGAUUGCAUCUACUUCCCGUGGCGCUGACGCCCCUGCAGCUCCAGGGCACAGAGGUGCCUGGUGACAGCUGGGGACCCGGCUCUCUCGCAGGAGGGAGGUGCGGCCUUCCCCUCCCACGGCUCCCCUUUCGCUUCCCCUGCUCAGCCCGUUUUCCAGGCCGGGGCCCUGAGCACACAAGCACCUGGCGGGGGAGCUCCCUCCUCUAUUUCUCUUUUCUUGUGAAAAACAUAGAAACCAGAGUCACUCAGGGGAGGCACGGAUACCCCCACUCUUGUCUUUUCUGGACUGCCCUGAGGAAAGCGCUGGGCCUAGAGUCAGCGUGAGGUCUGGAGUGAAACAGAAGGAUCCGGAAGGCUACAAAUUCACCUGCGGGCUCGGGGGAGAAGAAAGAAAACCAGAUGUUGCAUUCGUGGAGGGCAGCCCUGAGUGAGUACCCAUCAUGCCGCAGGGGAGAUGCCGGGUCCAGAGGGCGGAUCAGACGUGGCGGCAGGACGGGGACAGGACCCGAGAGGCCCGGGCUGGGAGAAGAGGGCUCCGUGUGGCGGUGGCCUCCUGCCUCUUUACUGCCACUAGGAACUCCCCAUCCUUAAAUGAAGUCACGGAAAAUCAGAGCCAGACUGACAGCAGGAGGCCUGCUGGUCAAAUAUGGAGUCACAGUGAUGAUGAUGGCCGCUCACCGUGGACCCAGACCUGCUUCACCUAAUCGUUGCUCGUUCCCCUAACGGUGAGGUGCACCCUCAUGCCUUUGUUUUACAGAUAAGGAAACUGAGGCUUAGAAAGUUAAGCAACUUUCCAAUGGUCAUCAGUCCACUUUUGCCCUUUGACCCAGCAGAGCUGUCCCAUCGUUCACUCCGUCGAGAGCCACUGAGACGUGGAAGUGGAAGCCCAGCUUUCCGGUCUGGGAGUUCCUCAGAGUGUAUCCCGCGUGGGCUUCCUCAAAGCACUCUCCACGGUGAGCCGGACGUUGUGUGACUGGAGCAUGGCGGGCUGGCUGGGAAUCUGGACGUCGCCCGGGCGCCACACGGGGAGUGCUGGCCGGGCCUCAGCAAUGGGACGGGGUUGCCUGCCAUGUGCCAGGCAUCCUGCUAAGCACCUGGCAGCCACCCUCUCGGUAACCUGAAGUGCUACCCACUUUCCAGAUGAGUAAACUGAGGUUCACACGACUUAAACACAUCUCUCCAGGCCUACACCUUGUGGGGCACGGAUUUGACCCUGGAGGUGCAGUUCUGGAGCAUGGCUCUUCAGCCCAAGCCAGUGACCCCCACGCUGACUGCCUUCGUGACCUCAGCCAUUCCCACUGGGAACAGCCUGGAGCACACAGGCUGAUCCCAAGGCCCAGAUCUCCCUCGAAGGGGCAGGCAUGGCUUCCAGGUGCACGGAAGCCGCCCCGGCGACGAGUACUGAGCUGAACUCUUAGGAAGGAAGCUCCAAUUAAAUUCUCUUCCCCAGUCGCUAAAAAAGUAGAUCUUCAAAGUUCUCUCCACAAGGGAGAAAACGUGUAACUAUGUGUGCUGACAAUGUCACACUAGACCAAUUGUGGGGUCAAUUCCCAGCAUAUACCAGUGUCGGGUCAAGUCAUGUACCUGAAACUAAUGUUACGUCAAUUAUAUCUCAACUGAAAGAAUAAUAAGUUCCCUUCCUGAA